CUACAUAUGUUUUUGAUUAAUGUAACAACUGGAGAUAAUGUGGACUAUAAUAUAGGCUUUAUAGGAAACCAUGGUUAUCUGGACAUUAUAUUGAAAAACAAGAACAGCACCUCAAGCCUUUACAUUGAUUUAUGGUCUAAACAAGGUAAUUUUGUAUAAGGAUUUCUUUGUAUUCAAGGAAAGAGCCAUACAUAGAGACUUGUGAUAUAUGAGGCAAUGUUUACUAAGUGUUUUUUUUUAGUACCAGAAAAGUGAUAUAAAAUUUUUGUGAAAAUGGUUCAGUUUAAAGAGAGAAACCCGAUCACAUUG